rnacentral:rRNA from 1 species
CCUACGGGUGGCUGCAGUGAGGAAUAUUGGUCAAUGGGCGCAAGCCUGAACCAGCCAUCCCGCGUGCAGGAAGACGGCCCUAUGGGUUGUAAACUGCUUUUCCAGGGGGAGAAACUUGCGCACGUGUUGCGCAAUUGACGGUACCCUGGGAAUAAGCAUCGGCUAACUCCGUGCCAGCAGCCGCGGUACUCCGGAGGAUGCGGACGCUAUCGGGUUUCAUUGGGUUUAAACGGACUAUUAAGUCAGUGGUGAAAUCCUGCAGCUUAACUGCAGAACUGCCAUUGAUACUGAUAGCCUUGAGUUUGGUUAAGGUAGGCGGAAUGUGUAAUGUAGCGGUGAAAUGCUUAGAUAUUACACAGAACACCAAUUGCGUAGGCAGCUUACUGAGCCGACACUGACGCUGAGGCACGAAAGCGUGGGGAUCGAACAGGAUUAGAUACCCCAGUAGUC